rnacentral:rRNA from 1 species
AGAAUCAACGCUGGCGGCGUGCCUAACACAUGCAAGUCGAACGAGAAAGGGUAGCAAUACCUGAGUAAAGUGGCGCACGGGUGAGUAACACGUGACUAACCUACCCUAGAGUGGGGGAUAACUGAGGGAAACCUUAGCUAAUACCGCAUAAUACCCACGGGUCAAAGGAGCAAUUCGCUUUAGGAGGGGGUCGCGGUCGAUUAGUUAGUUGGCGGGGUAAUGGCCCACCAAGACUUUGAUCGAUAUCCGGCCUGAGAGGGCGCACGGACACACUGGAACUGAAACACGGUCCAGACUCCUACGGGAGGCAGCAGUGGGGAAUUUUGCGCAAUGGGGAAACCCUGACGCAGCAACGCCGCGUGGAGGAUGAAGUACUUCGGUACGUAAACUCCUUUCGAUCGGGACGAUUAUGACGGUACCGGAAGAAGAAGCCCGGCUAACUUCGCGCCAGCAGCCGC